rnacentral:rRNA from 1 species
GGGUCAGUAGGUUGGUCGUGCCACCGGUACGUACUGGUCUCACUGAUUCCUCCUUCCUGAAGAACCGUAAUGCCAUUAAUUUGGCGUUGCGGGGAAACAGGACUGUUACUUUGAAAAAAUUAGUGUGUUUAAAGCAAGCUAACGCUUGAAUACAUUAGCAUGGAAUAAUGAAAUAGGACGAUCGAUCCUAUUUUGUUGGUUUCUAGGAUUGACGUA